rnacentral:rRNA from 1 species
GACGAAGGGGGCUAGCGUUGUUCGGAAUUACUGGGCGUAAAGCGCGUGUAGGCGGUUGUCCAAGUUGGAUGUGAAAGCCUUGAGCUUAACUCAAGAAAUGCAUUCAGGACUGGAUGACUAGAGGACCGGAGAGGAUAGUGGAAUUCCCAGUGUAGUGGUGAAAUGCUUAGAUAUGACAUAGAACACCGAUAGCGAAGGCAGCUUGCUACACAAUCAUUGACACUGAGGCACGAAAGCGUGGGGAUCAAACAGG